GAAUUCACUAGUGAUUCAGGCCUAACACAUGCAAGUCGAGCGGUAGAGAGAAGCUUGCUUCUCUUGAGAACGACGGACGGGUGAGUAAUGCCUAGGAAUCUGCCUGGUAGUGGGGGAUAACGUUCGGAAACGGACGCUAAUGCCGCAUACGUCCUACGGGAGAAAGCAGGGGACCUUCGGGCCUUGCGCUAUCAGAUGAGCCUAGGUCGGAUUAGCUAGUUGGUGAGGUAAUGGCUCACCAAGGCUACGAUCCGUAACUGGUCUGAGAGGAUGAUCAGUCACACUGUUUCUGGGAGGCGGUCCAGACUCCUACGGGAGGCAGCAGUGGGGAAUAUUGGACAAUGGGC
rnacentral:rRNA from 1 species